rnacentral:tRNA from 1 species
GAGCAUGUAGCUUAAAGGAUAAAGUAUUAGAUUCCGAAUCUAAUGAUUAGGGGUUCGAGUCCCCUCAUGCUUU